CACAAUUAUCGUGGUCAUUUGGGCCGACCGGCUUGCCGCCACGUAAAACAAGGGGCUAAGGGGUCGUGUCCGCACUCGA
rnacentral:ncRNA from 2 species